CGGCGGACGGGUGAGUAACGCGUGGGUAACCUGCCUCAUACAGGGGGAUAACAGUUGGAAACGGCUGCUAAUACCGCAUAAGCGUACAGUACCGCAUGGUACCGUGUGAAAAACUCCGGUGGUAUGAGAUGGACCCGCGUCUGAUUAGCUAGUUGGUGGGGUAACGGCCUACCAAGGCGACGAUCAGUAGCCGACCUGAGAGGGUGACCGGCCACAUUGGGACUGAGACACGGCCCAA
rnacentral:rRNA from 1 species